GUAAUUCUUUAUAUUAGGAUGCCUGCUAUACCUUUGUGGUACGGGCAGAGGAGGAAUAUCAUUUUCCUAUUUUCUUGAUAUAAUUUCCUUUUUCUUUCAAGUUUUCAGCUGCGCGGCGUCUAAGGGCUUCGUGCCCAAAGUGCUAUGUUUCGGCCGGCAAAAAACAGUCAACUCAGAACUGGCACGGACUGGGGGAAUCCGACUGUCUAAUUAAAACAAAGCAUUGCGAUGGCCGCUGGUUGGUGUUGACGCAAUGUGAUUUCUGCCCAGUGCUCUGAAUGUCAACGUGAAGAGAUUUAUCAAAGCGCGGGUAAACGGCGGGAGUAACUAUGACUCUCUUGGGACGUAAAGUCGGCCGGGUUUGUAUCCGACCGACAAGUGCCAACUCCACGUCCUCGUCGUGCGUCCUGAGAGGCGCGGGGCUCGUUAGAGUCCUGCGCCUGCUAACGGAGCUCUGGCUAUCAUUGGGAAGGGGUUGUCCCCCUUCCCAAAGCGUGCUUGACGAGGCUUAUAAAAGAAUAAGUAAUACGGGGCAGUCAGGAGACUGUACCUCCAAGCAGCGGCGCGGGUGGAGGUGGCCCGCUGUCGCUUUGGUGUCUCGUCCGACUCCCACCGCGGGUGGCAGUUACAGGGGCGGGUGGGCAAGAUGAGGGGCGCACACCCAACUCACUGCUCCUAGGAGCCCGAAGGUGGGGCUCGGGUGAACGCCUGUCCUCUGGCACGGAGGACUGCGGUAUGGGGCCAGACGAAUAGAUCUCGGAGCCGCACUGCACAAACGCAUAUCAAGCACCGGGCGCUCUCAGUAGUCUGCCCCCGAGCGGUUCGAAUGGACCAGCGGGGGUGGCGGCGGGCCGCUGAAGCCCGUGACGGGCCCACAAGAAGUGAGUGCAGAGUGGUCCCUCUCCCUUAACGAGAGGAUAAGACCUCCGGGGUACUUGUUGUCGAAGGCAAGCCCGGAGCCUUCGCACGAAGGUGGACUUGAAACGGCUUUUGGGCGCAAGUCCCGGUUCUAAAAAAAUAGCCAAAUGCCUCGUUAUCUAAUUAUUGACGCGCAUGAAUGGAUUAACGAGAUUCCCACGGUC
rnacentral:rRNA from 1 species